CCUACGGGAGGCAGCAGUGAGGAAUAUUGGUCAAUGGACGCAAGUCUGAACCAGCCAUGCCGCGUGCAGGAUGACGGCUCUAUGAGUUGUAAACUGCUUUUGUACGAGGGUAAACCCCGAUACGUGUAUCGGGUUGAAAGUAUCGUACGAAUAAGGAUCGGCUAACUCCGUGCCAGCAGCCGCGGUAAUACGGAGGAUCUGAGCGUUAUCCGGAUUAUUUGGGUUUAAAGGGUGCGUAGGGGGUGUGUAAAGUUAUAGGUGAAAUGUGGGGGCUCAACCCUGAAACUGCCUCAAAAACUGUUGAACUAGAGAAUGGUUGCGGUAGGCGGAAUGUAUGGUGUAGGGGUGAAAUGCUUAGAGAUCAUACAGAACACCGAUUGCGAAGGCAGCUUACCAA
rnacentral:rRNA from 1 species